CUUUAGGGCUGAUUUUGCAAUAGCGUGAUGAAUCAAGAUUACUGUUUUAGGGUAAAUUGCAGGCAUUUUUAAAGGAGUCGAAACUUGCUCCAAAUAACUUUUCCAUGGGAUGACCUGCAACUGAAUAACAUUUGUCAUGAACAUCUCAAGUUGAGGGUGUGUCCAAGCCAUCACAGUCUUUCUGAUCCCCACCUGUCAUGGACAGUACCUCCAUUGACCCACAAACAUUCCCUGCAGAAGGCUCUGGUGAAGUCAGCCCUUCUAUUUCACCUGGCAAGGUAAACUUUGUGAACUAGUAUCCGAGAUAAGGUUGUCCUAACACUACCAGCGUAUCAAGGCACUCAACUCCAUUCACCACAGAAGGUAAUGCCUUGUCUGCAGUCACACAGAAAAACCAGUCCAACAAGGCGGCCCUGAACCAGGACACCUCUUCAAACAGUACACAGUGGUGGACAGCGAAAGAGAUUUGAAGUGAUAGCCCUUUUUAGAGGACAGAAAGACCCC
ensembl:lncRNA